rnacentral:rRNA from 1 species
GCCUCGCCUGUUUACCAAAAACACCGCCUCUUGCAAAAUUAAUGAAUAAGAGGUCCCGCCUGCCCUGUGACCAUGAGUUCAACGGCCGCGGUAUUUUGACCGUGCAAAGGUAGCGCAAUCACUUGUCUUUUAAAUAAAGACCCGUAUGAAUGGCAAGACGAGGGCUUGACUGUCUCCUUUUUCAGGUCAAUGAAACUGAUCUUUCCGUGCAGAAGCGGGAAUACUUCCAUAAGACGAGAAGACCCUGUGAAGCUUUAGACACCAAGACAGAUCACGUCAAAAUCCCCUUACAAAGGACAAAACUAACCGAACCCUGAUCCUAAUGUCUUUGGUUGGGGCGACCGCGGGGAACUACAAAACCCCCGAGUGGAACGAAAGCACCACCCUGCUUUUACAACCAAGAGCCUCCGCUCUAAUAAACAGAACAUCUGACCAACAAUGAUCCGGCAAUGCCGAUCAACGAACCAAGUUACUCCAGGGAUAACAGCGCAAUCCUCUUUUAGAGUUCAUAUCGACAAGAGGGUUUACGACCUCGAUGUUGGAUCAGGACAUCCUAAUGGUGCAGCCGCUAUUAAGGGUUCGUUUGUUCAACGAUUAAAGUCCUACGUGAUCUGAGUCCAGACCGG